rnacentral:rRNA from 1 species
UACGUAGGGUGCGAGCGUUAAUCGGAAUUACUGGGCGUAAAGCGUGCGUAGGCGGUUCGUUAUGUCCGUUGUGAAAGCCCCGGGCUCAACCUGGGAAUGGCAAUGGAAACUGGCGGGCUUGAGUAUGGCAGAGGGGGGUGGAAUUCCGCGUGUAGCAGUGAAAUGCGUAGAGAUGCGGAGGAACACCGAUGGCGAAGGCAGCCCCCUGGGUUAACACUGACGCUCAUGCACGAAAGCGUGGGGAGCAAACAGG